ACUCCAGUGGCCUAGUGGUUACAGCGUCCGCCUCAGAUGCGGGAGAUCGCAGGUUCCAUCCCGGUCGAGUC